UACGUAGGGGGCAAGCGUUGUCCGGAAUUAUUGGGCGUAAAGAGCGCGUAGGCGGUCCGGUAAGUCGGCUGUGAAAGUCAAGGGCUCAACCCUUGAAAGCCGGCCGAUACUGUCGGACUAGAGUCCGGAAGGGGCGAGUGGAAUUCCCGGUGUAGCGGUGAAAUGCGCAGAUAUCGGGAGGAGCACCAAUGGCGAAGGCAGCUCGCUGGGACGGUACUGACGCUGAGGCGCGAAAGCGUGGGGAGCAAACAGG
rnacentral:rRNA from 1 species